rnacentral:rRNA from 1 species
UACAGAGGGGGCGAGCGUUAUUCGGAAUUAUUGGGCGUAAAGGGCGCGUAGGCGGCCAUUCAAGUGACGGGUGAAAGCCCUCGGCUUAACCGAGGAACUGCCUGUCAGACUGGAUGGCUUGAGACCGGGAGAGGUGAGUGGAAUUCCCAGUGUAGCGGGUGAAAAUGCGUAGAUAUUGGGAGGAACACCAGUGGCGAAGGCGGCUCACUGGCCCGGUACUGACGCUGAGGUGCGAAAGCGUGGGGAGCAAACAGG